GGAUUGUAGCUCAGUGGUAGAGUGUCUGUCUGGUACAUGUGGGGUGCUGGAUUCAAUCCUCAGCACCA
rnacentral:tRNA from 1 species